CUCGUAGGUGGCCAACUAAGUCAGACGUGAAAUCCCUCGGCUUAACCGGGGAACUGCAUCUGAUACUGGAUGGCUUGAGAUUGGGAGAGGGACGCGGAAUUCCAGGUGUAGCGGUGAAAUGCGUAGAUAUCUGGAGGAACACCGGUGGCGAAGGCGGCGUCCUGGACCAACACUGACACUGAGGAGCGAAAGCCAGGGAGCAACG
rnacentral:rRNA from 1 species